GUGAUCAGAGAGUAGGAGAAUGUUUAUAAGAGGAUUUUAUAUAUAUUGAAGAGAGGAACAGAGGUAUUAUGUCUUUAGUUUUAUCAAAAUAAUUGAAUUUUUGACGAUUAUGAAAUGCGCUGAUGGGUUUGUUUUUGUAUUUACAUAUGGCAAAAUUCAGAGACGACCACGGACUGAUGAGUCGCCUCAUCCCUCAGGAUACUUAAAUAUCAUCACAGGUAUAUUUCCCCUCGAUUUCAACUUUUCUAACUUAAAAAAAAAAAAUUAAAAAAAAUUAAGAACAAUUGAUUUUGAUAUAAAACUAUACAUAAAGAAGAAAAGAUUUUAUGUUUUUUCAUUUCCAUUUUCCUGAUUUACAACUAAAUAUCAAGGUUUUUAAAAUCAAAAAGUUUUAAUUUUAAUAAAUAAAUAUGAUUUUUUUUGGGUUUGAAUCUAAGUGUUAAAUUGUAAUACGUUGAAAACAAACUGGGCCGAGCAUCCAGUCCCUUUGUGGUCCGUCAGUGGUGUAUAAGUUCAACAUGUUAUCACGUAUUGUAAAAAAUUUAACGCUUAGGUUUAAGGUUUUUUAUAAUUUAAGUAAAGUUAUAACUUUAAAGUAAAUUUUUGAUUUUGAAAACUUUUAAAUUUUGAAAAGUUAUAACAUACUAAAUUUUUUUUAUUUUUAAAGAAUCUAAGUGUUAAGUUUAAAUAUGUUGAAAACAAACCGGACCUAGCAUCGAACUCUUUCAUACUAAUUUGUGUUAUUCAAUUAGAGUUGUUGAUGUUUUCCAAGCUACAUACUUAUAUAAUUAUUUAUUAGCGCCGCAUGAUAUUUUAAGUUUACAGGAUAUUUCCAUGUUU
rnacentral:lncRNA from 1 species